AGAGUUUGAUUCUGGCUCAGGAUGAACGCUAGCGGCAGGCUUAACACAUGCAAGUCGAGGGGUAUAUAGGAGCUUGCUCUUAUAGAGACCGGCAAACGGGUGCGGAACACGUACGCAAUCUACCCUUAUCUCGGGGAUAGCCCAUAGAAAUGUGGAUUAAUACCCGAUAGUAUAUUUUAGUGGCAUCACUGGGAUAUUAAAGAAUUUCGGAUAGGGAUGAGCGUGCGUAAGAUUAGCUAGUUGGUGAGGUAACGGCUCACCAAGGCGACGAUCUUUAGCUGAUGUGAGAGCAUGAUCAGCCACACGGGCACUGAGACACGGGCCCGACUCCUACGGGAGGCAGCAGUGAGGAAUAUUGGGCAAUGGACGGAAGUCUGACCCAGCCAUGCCGCGUGAAGGAUGAAGGCGUUCUGCGUUGUAAACUUCUUUUAUCAGGGAAGAAACCACUGAUUUCUAUUAGUGUUGACGGUACCUGAGGAAUAAGCACCGGCUAACUCCGUGCCAGCAGCCGCGGUAAUACGGAGGGUGCAAGCGUUAUCCGGAUUCACUGGGUUUAAAGGGUGUGUAGGCGGGCAUUUAAGUCUGGGGUGAAAUCUCCGAGCUCAACUCGGAAACUGCCUUGGAUACUAUUUGUCUUGAAUUAUGUUGAGGUAGGCGGAAUAUAACAUGUAGCGGUGAAAUGCAUAGAUAUGUUAUAGAACACCGAUUGCGAAGGCAGCUUACUAAGCAUAUAUUGACGCUGAGGCACGAAAGCGUGGGGAUCAAACAGGAUUAGAUACCCUGGUAGUCCACGCCCUAAACGAUGAUUACUCGUCAUUUGUGAUACACUAUAAGUGACCAAGCGAAAGCGUUAAGUAAUCCACCUGGGAAGUACGUCCGCAA
rnacentral:rRNA from 1 species